ACCGGAUUAGAUACCCUGGUAGUCCACGCCGUAAACGAUGUCGACUUGGAGGCUGUUCCCUUGAGGAGUGGCUUCCGGAGCUAACGCGUUAAGUCGACCGCCUGGGGAGUACGGCCGCAAGGUUAAAACUCAAAUGAAUUGACGGGGGCCCGCACAAGCGGUGGAGCAUGUGGUUUAAUUCGAUGCAACGCGAAAAACCUUACCUACUCUUGACAUCCACGGAAUUUGGCAAAAAUGCCUUAGUGCCUUCGGGAACCGUGAGACAGGUGCUGCAUGGCUGUCGUCAGCUCGUGUUGUGAAAUGUUGGGUUAAGUCCCGCAACGAGCGCAACCCUUAUCCUUUGUUGCCAGCGAUUCGGUCGGGAACUCAAAGGAAACUGCCGGUGAUAAACCGGAGGAAGGUGGGGAUGACGUCAAGUCAUCAUGGCCCUUACGAGUAGGGCUACACACGUGCUACAAUGGCGCAUACAAAGAGAAGCGACCUCGCGAGAGCAAGCGGACCUCAUAAAGUGCGUCGUAAUCCGGAUCGGAGUCUGCAACUCGACUCCGUGAAGUCGGAAUCGCUAGUAAUCGUGGAUCAGAAUGCCACGGUGAAUACGUUCCCGGGCCUUGUACACACCGCCCGUCACACCAUGGGAGUGGGUUGCAAAAGAAGUAGGUAGCUUAACCUUCGGGAGGGCGCUUACCACUUUGUGAUUCAUGACUGGGGUGAAGUCGUAACAAGGUAAC
rnacentral:rRNA from 1 species